rnacentral:rRNA from 1 species
GUGGGGAAUCUUGCGCAAUGGGCGAAAGCCUGACGCAGCCAUGCCGCGUGAAUGAUGAAGGUCUUAGGAUUGUAAAAUUCUUUCACCGGGGACGAUAAUGACGGUACCCGGAGAAGAAGCUCCGGCUAACUUCGUGCCAGCAGCCGCGGUAAUACGAAGGGGGCUAGCGUUGCUCGGAAUUACUGGGCGUAAAGGGCGCGUAGGCGGACAGCUUAGUCAGAGGUGAAAGCCCAGGGCUCAACCUUGGAAUUGCCUUUGAUACUGGCUGGCUUGAGUACGGGAGAGGUGAGUGGAACUCCGAGUGUAGAGGUGAAAUUCGUAGAUAUUCGGAAGAACACCAGUGGCGAAGGCGACUCACUGGCCCGUUACUGACGCUGAGGCGCGAAAGCGUGGGGAGCAAACAGGAUUAGAUACCCUUGUAGUCC